AUGGCUCAGGAUGAACGCUAGCGGCAGGCUUAACACAUGCAAGUCGAGGGGCAUCGGGAGUAGCAAUACUGCCGGCGACCGGCGCAAGGGUGCGUAACGCGUGAGCAACAUGCCCGUAUCAGGGGGGAUAAUCCAUGGAAACGUGGUCUAAUACCCCAUAGUAAUUAUGUAAGGCAUCUUAUAUAAUUUAAAGCUUUGGUGGAUACGGAUUGGCUCGCGUGACAUUAGCUAGAUGGUAAGGUAACGGCUUACCAUGGCUACGAUGUCUAGGGGUUCUGAGAGGAAGGUCCCCCACACUGGAACUGAGACACGGUCCAGACUCCUACGGGAGGCAGCAGUGAGGAAUAUUGGACAAUGGAUGGAAAUCUGAUCCAGCCAUGCCGCGUGCAAGGAAGACGGCCCUAUGGGUUGUAAACUGCUUUUGUAUGGGAGCAAUAAGGGCUACGCGUAGUCCGAUGAGAGUACCAUACGAAUAAGCACCGGCUAACUCCGUGCCAGCCGCCGC
rnacentral:rRNA from 1 species